AGCGCUUUGACUUUAGUUGGUGCUUAUGAUGUACUGUUAUACCACUGUCCCAGGUUAGGGGAGGGUUGGGAUCCCGUUAACAUGUUAGAAGCCUGUAAUUCAGUGGUUGUCAUAUUACAUAUUUGUUUUUUAUAUAAAUAUGGCCGUUAGUUUUCUCGUUUGAAUUGGUUUACAUUGUCAUUUUGGGGCCUUUUAUAGCUGACUAUGUAGUCUGGCUUUGCUCAUUGUUGAAGGUCGUACGGUGACCUAUAGUUGUUAAUUUCUGUGUCAUUUUGGUCUCUUGUGGAGAGUUAUCAGUGGCA
rnacentral:lncRNA from 1 species